rnacentral:rRNA from 1 species
UACGUAGGGACCAAGCGUUGUUCGGAAUUACUGGGCGUAAAGGGCGCGUAGGCGGACAGUUUAGUCAGAGGUGAAAGCCCAGGGCUCAACCCUGGAAUUGCCUUUGAUACUGACUGUCUUGAGUACGGGAGAGGUGUGUGGAACUCCGAGUGUAGAGGUGAAAUUCGUAGAUAUUCGGAAGAACACCAGUGGCGAAGGCGACACACUGGCCCGUUACUGACGCUGAGGCGCGAAAGCGUGGGGAGCAAACAGG